rnacentral:lncRNA from 1 species
AGCAAACAUGCUUCCCUAAAAUAAUAUCAUGUCUUUGGAAAGUUCAUCAAAUGCAGCUAGAGAUUGUACUAACAUUGAAGCAAUGUGUCAAUGUCAUGUCCUAGUGGUGAACCUCCCAGUAUUCUUGUCUACUGUUACAUGUUUUCUUCAUAUAAAACAUACUUUCUCCACGGCAAAGGUCAAAUAAUAUGGAGACCAUAAUGGAAGCUUUCCCGUCCACUGAUACACGUACUAUGAAGAAUGAGAUGAAUAUAUUCUCUAAUCUCCUGAAUAAACCAUGAUAUUAUCCCUAUAACACAAAAGACAAUAGAAAAGUUGUAUAAACAUUUACUUAUGACCCACGAGCAAGGCGGAGAAGUGCAUAUCCAUCUUAUUAUGAUGUAUGAAGCAAUAUAAUCAUUGUCGACUUAGAAUCAAUAUAAAUGCAGAUAGCUUACACCUAGAUGAAAUCAAUUAGUAGUUCAACGUACACAAAUGCAGAACACUUGAGGACAAACAUAAUCAGCAUGGAUUAAUUUAUUUGGAUUCAUAACCAAAAUACAUAAGCAACAGAACACACGUAGAUAUAAGACCCAGCACAGCUUAGUGAAAGGAGAUGAGUGGCAACUACAAAAAAAUAUAAUAAAAUGCUUGGAACUUCAAGUGAGUACAUACCAUAGAUAACACGUGCUGCUGAUGAUAUAUUCUAUAUCUACUUUUCUCUAGAAAGGAGUAAAUCUUGGGCGGAACAUCCAUCCAUCCAGAUAAAAUAGUCAAUAGAGGACUAACAUCCUGAUGACCAAAGUCCAAUGGUGAGUUGGGGUGUGACGACCAAUUUGAUGUUGGGUGAUUACUACCAAACACAGAAUAGACACCAAUCGCCAGUGCCACCGAUCGGGAUAGGAUGCAAGGGUUCACUUUCAUAAUUUUGAAACCACGCACGCAAAGAAAAAACUCUAAAUCUGGAUUCCCAACUUAUAAACAGAGGGUCCUCCCACCUUCCACAUGAGCGAUGACGGGCUGAUGGCACCGCCGUCGACUUCUCUGCACAGUACCUGCAAAACAAAAGAGAGGCGAAUCCCAGAUCCUUUUACUUCUCGUGUGGUGCUGCAGUGCCUACUAAUUAAUCAAUCAAGCAGCUACAUGUAGUGGAGCCGUGGAGUUGCGCUUGGAUGAUUGGAUUAGCUAUGUACGUACCUAGCUGGAUUGAAGCUGCUGACCUUCUCGAGCAUGACGUAGGACAUGUCCUUGAGCCUCUUGACUUUCGGCGCGUCCAUAGCCUGGAUCUGCGGCGACGGG